GCCUUCUGCAACUCCCUUCUCCAACCUCCACAGAAGAUAAUUCUCUUCAUUUGUCUCUUUGUCUGCUUCAACCAAAGGUGGAGUUGUGUUAGAUGGAAAUAUGCCCCUGAAUCCAAGGCAAUCUAAUCUGGGAUCUCUAUACCAUAGCCACCCACAAUUGUUUCCUUGUGAAGAUGACUGGCCAGAGCGAUCAAACCCACCACCCCAUCCAAGGGAGGCAGCAUCUGGCUCUUCAGAGGACUUCUGAGUUAAAUAUUGGCCAAACCUCUGCCAGCAAGAGAAAUCAUCAACCACGCUCUCUAUUUCAACCUUAGACCUCAACCGAUACUUUUUCAGUGUCUGCAGAAGCUCGUCCAAUUCAGAACCAUCAACAUCAGCAAACAAUUCCAGCUCCCCAGAAUCAGGGCCAGGCCCUGAACCAGUUCGAUCAAGCUUCUCAUCAGCUCGAGGCGGCCUAUACAAGAACAUAUCAUACAAAAACCUUCCUUGAGCAGUCAAAAGAGCAGCAUACACCGGAGAAACCGAAACAAACGGCGCGUUGGUAGUGGCCAAAGUGGUCCUAUCUUCGGGUUGUGGAUUUUCUAACCUCCGUAGAUCAUUGGUAACAAGACCCUGAAGGAAUUUAACCGUGUCAGGUCCUGUAAAACGGAUAACGGAUCGGGUCUUGAGACGGGAAGCCAUGGGGCCGGCAUUUUCGAGCUGGGAUUGAUGAGAGAAGCGUAUGGAAGAAUUGAUAAAAGUUGAAUUUUUGGGUUUGAAGAAAUGAAGAGAUCGUUUCAAACGGUACAUUGCUGGCGGCGAUGGUGGUUGCAGAGCGGUGAAGACGGCGGGUAUAUGAAAAUUGGUUGACGGACACGUGGAUUUAGACGGUGCUACGUGGUGAAUAAAGAAGGAAGUUAGCUGUUAGGUGUUGAAUAAUUAAAAAAA
rnacentral:misc_RNA from 1 species